rnacentral:snoRNA from 1 species
ACUGAGGCCUAUCCCCACGGCUUCCCCAGUAACCACACAUCAUUGGAAACACUUCAUGCUGUAGCUGUGGUUUUGCUUGACUCGUGGGAAUGUUUCCUAGGUUUGUGGAAAGGAACGGCAAGACAGUU